UCCCUGAUAGCUCAGUUGGUAAAGAAUCUGCCUGCGAUGCAGGACACCCCGGUUCGAUUCCUGGGUUGGGAA
rfam:TPA: Bos taurus chromosome 18, whole genome shotgun sequence.